GUAUAAGAAAAUGUUAUACUUUUUGUGGGCUGCCCUAUUGGACAGCACGCGCCCUUUGUAAUAAUGUUUCUAGUGCAACCCUGCCCCUUGAUGCUCUGGCGACACUGGACUGGAUUGACAGAGCUGCCGUCUGUCAAAAGCCGUGAGUACAAAAAAAAACUAGAUGAAUGAGAAGCAGAAAAACAUCCACGUUUGAAGAUCACUCCUAUUCCGUAGUGUUUAUUCCCUUAAUAGUUCUAACUAAUACUCGCAUAUACUGCCAAAUUUAGUGAAUUUAUAGUGGCAGAGAGGUAAAGUGAAUUUGUUAUAUAUUAGAUCCUAAAACUAACUAAAAAAUUAUUUACUAGGGCCUAGAACUUACAUGCAAAUUAGCGCACAAAAGUGCCUAACCUAAGUGUAUACUAAAUCUACAUCUUUCAUUGAACCUAUACCGGUAAGCCAAUGAUAAAACUAUAAAUUUGCUUCCAAAUUCAAGAUUACCAUUGUUACAGCUCCAUCAUAACCAUAAGACCCUUAUUACCCGCCGAAACUGAACUAGGGGAACUAAACGUAAGUAAUUAUAUGUAUAUCUAUAUCAAGUCCCGUUGACAACACCGCAACAAAAUUUGUUAUCUACCUUACACAGAACAUAAUUUGCUACCAAAACCCCACACGUUAUAGAUACACCAGCUUAUAUAUGUAGUUAAUGCUUACGAUAUAUUGUUUCCUGUGCAUUAGUAUGCAUUGGCAUGAACUUAAGAACUAAUUGUGAAAUAUUAUAUACCCUCUGUCCUACUUGCACAGGAAAUUAGUAAUCUCCCGAAUAAAGAGCUAACAAAACCGAUCCCUGCUCUGGAGGUUAUUAAGGCGGAAGAAUCCCCCUAUCAGUCAAAGUAACAGACGGUAGAGUUGGUCGAAGCGAACUUCGACAAAUUACUAAUUUCGUUUACGCGAGUGAUGUCGAGUCGAAAAAGUGGUAAAGAUGGCAAAAGCGGUUCAAAAGGUGCGCGGUCGAAAGAGAAGCCAACAGAAACGAUCGAUAACAGUGAUGGUGCUAAUGUAGUGGUGGUGGUCACGGGCGACAAAGAGGAUGAAGAACAAGUUCCAGAACAGGACUGCACGUUCUGCCAGGAGUCGGAUAACGAUGAGAUGGUUCAGUGCGACAAGUGCGACCGCUGGAUUCAUUUCGCAUGUGUUGGUGUCACAGAAGAAAUCGCGGAUAAGAGUUGGAGUUGUCCCAAAUGUGUAACUACAACCGGGUUCCAGCUGUCUCCGUCUUCUGCUGCUAAACGCCUUCCGGCGGGGCUUCCAUGUCGCGCAGACCAACCAAAGUCUGCCGCUUCAAAAGAGCAGCUCAUCCCCAGGAGAACUCUCGCAACUGGCAAGGGUGCACGGUGCAAUACGCUGUCGGAGCCGAUAGGAAAGACUUUUCCGACUCACGGCGACCCUCACGGAGCCACAUCUCGUGCCAAAACAGUCAAGUCGGUAGCAUCAACGUCGUCUCGUAGAUCCCUACUCCAACUACAGCUUCAACGGCUUGAGGAAGAACAAGAACACGAGAAGCAACAAGCUGAAAAAUACCGGUCCUACCUGGACAGGAAAUAUGAACUCUUGGAGCAGAUGCACAGCCAAACCGGAUCCGAUUGUAGUGCAUCACAAAGCCGAGUUAGACAGUGGGUUCACGAAGUGACCAAUGUACGAACCGAAAAUACACUAGAUGCCCGGACUACAGAAGCCUUCGACCCACAGAGACACUCAACACAGAACUACUCCGAGCAAGCUCAAGUCGGUUCUACUCCUUCGUCGAAUCAGCAUCGCCGCAGUCAGGAUAGAGGCGCAGAUCAUGGUGGGUGCUGCGGUCCUCGGCGAGAACGGCCGUCUCGACCGUUAUCUACAGGUAGGAGCCUCGUAGAGUCCUUCGAACAGCUCAGUCAUCAGCAAAGGAGAGCCUUUCGAGAAACACAUUUCCAUUCAGAAGCUCACGAGGAAGAUUUCGGACCGUGUUCGUUUUCCCGGCAACAGUUGGCAGCUCGUCAAGGGCUCUCAAAAGAUUUGCCCAAGUUUUCCGGUAAGUUUGAAGAGUGGCCGAUCUUCAUGUCGAUGUUUAAUAGCACGACCAACGUGUGCGGCUUUUCGAAUGAAGAAAACCUCAUUCGGCUUCAGAAGGCCUUAGAAGGAAAGGCGUACGAAACGGCCCAGAGUUUACUGAUGCACCCGUCAAACGUUCCGGCGAUCAUGCGAACAUUGAAAAUGAGAUUCGGACAACCCGAAGCCGUUGUUCACUCCCUGAUCCAAAAGGUGAAUGCCCUACCAUCUAUACGUGAGGAACGACUGGAGACGUUAGUGGAGUUUGCAGUGAACGUGCAAAAUUUCUGCGCCACCGUGGAUGCGUACGAACUCGAAGACUACAUGUAUAACGUCUCCCUUCUACAUCAGUUGGUGAGCAAGCUUCCAGCGACCUUAAAGCUAGACUGGGCUAGGCAUCGACAGAACCUUCAGCGGGUCAACUUGGCAACCUUUGGGAACUGGGUGUAUUCGUUAGCCGAGGCAGCUAGUACGGUUGUAAGCCCUGUGGAUGCAAACGAGUCGACGAAGCCGACACGCAGCGAAGGACGCGGAAAUUUCGGUGGGAAUAAGAAAUCGAACGCAUACGUAAACGCACACGCUGAGACGGCAUCGGAAUCCAGCAAUCAUCAAAAGUUCGAAGAUUCUGAUGCAGACCCGAAGGAGAUGACCGGCGCGUCAGUCGGUAAGCAGUCGACUCACGUGGACGAUAGCUGUGUGGUAUGCAAAGGAAGAUGUAAAAACGUUUCGAAGUGUCAACAGUUCAUGGAGUUGUCUCGCGAAUCCAGAUGGGCUUUGGUAAAAGAAUUCAGACUGUGUCGAAACUGUCUACGUCGGCACAAAGGAGGAUGUGACGCUAAACCAUGCGGUAAAAAUGGAUGCGCCUAUAAACAUCACCAGUUACUCCAUAAUGACCAGAAAGUCCAGCCAUCCUCUAGCCAAGAUUUGCAAAUGUCCACUGCAGCUCCAGCUCAGAUUCCUAGGUUACCGAGGUCCGCUGGGGAAGUACCAACACACGACUGCAAUAUUCAUCAAGCGAAACCUAAUGCAGUACUGUUCCGUUAUCUGCCCGUCGUACUCAGCGGGCCUCAAGGCUCUAUUAAAACUUAUGCGUUCCUGGAUGAAGGUUCCCAUUUGAGCCUAAUAGAUCAGGAACUAGCGGAACAACUCAAGCUCGAAGGCACUACGAUACCCUUAUGCCUCCGUUGGACGGGAGGAACACAGCGAUGCGAACGAGACUCGCAGUCCGUUACCCUCGAUAUAUCCGGCACGAACAAAGCAGCCAAGAAUUUCCAGCUAUCCGGAGUAAGAACAGUUGAAGAACUCUUGCUUCCGCACCAGACACUUAACGCAGAGGAAUUAGGACAACAAUAUCCACAUCUCAAGGGACUCUCCAUAGAUUCCUACUACGAUGCUCGACCAAGAAUUCUUAUCGGAAUGAAGCACGUGCAAGUCAGCCUAGUAUUGAAAAGCAGAGAGGGAAACUAUGGUGAACCAGUAGCCGUAAAAACACGGCUGGGGUGGACAGUAUGCGGCGGAGGAGACAUGGAAGCAGGCAACGUAAGCAAUCUGAUCCACUAUACCUUCCACGUGUGUUCGUGUGAGCAGACGCAAGACGACGAGUUGCAUCAGGCAGUGAAAAAACAUUUUGCCUUGGAUAGUCUUGGUGUGACAAAACCAGAAAAGCUUCUUCUCUCUGCUGACGAUCAACGUGCGCAGGACCUCUUGAAGAAAUUAACUACUCAUGAUGGGGAAAGAUACACAACUGGGUUACUGUGGCGGCACGAUAACGUUCGCCUACCUGAAAGUUACGCUAUGGCACUGCGAAGACAUCAAUGCUUACAAAAGCGCCUCGCCAAAGAUCCGGAAUUAGCUGAAACGUUACAACAAAUGAUGGCGGACUACGUGUCAAAGGGAUACGUGCGGCAGAUCUCGGAGGAAGAACUCAGCCUCAAGUUUUCAAGAGUGUGGUACCUUCCUGUAUUUCCCGUUGUAAACCAUAAUAAGCCAGGAAAGGUGCGACUGGUUUGGGACUGUGCCACAUGCUCCUUCGGUGUUUCGCUGAAUUCCACCCUUCUAAAGGGUCCCGAUCAGCUUUGUUCGCUGCUGUCUAUCUUACUGCAAUUCAGGGAAAACAGAGUGGGGCUGACCGGUGACAUACGGGAAAUGUUCCACCAGAUACGCAUCCGAGACGAGGAUCAACAGUGUCAACGGUUCUUGUGGUGGAACGAUAAAGGAGAAGUUGUGAUCUACGUUAUGCAGGUUAUGACCUUUGGUGCCUGUUGCUCCCCCAGCUGCGCACAAUAUGCAAAAAACGUCAACGCCGAACGUCAUGCAGGAGAGUACCCGGACGCAGCCGAAGUAAUCCAGAAAAAGCACUAUGUGGAUGACAUGCUUGUCAGUCUGGAAACUGAGGAAGAGGCGGUGCGAAUAGCAAGAGAGGUGAAGUACGUUCAUCAGCAGGGCGGAUUUGAAAUCCGGAAUUGGAUUAGCAAUUCACCAGCAGUACUAAGAGCUCUAAACAAAAAAAAAGAGGACUUGCUGAAUGAGAAAGAUCUGGACUUGUCACCAGAAGUAAGCACCGAGAAAGUCUUGGGUAUGUGGUGGUGUACCGCUUCAGAUACAUUUACGUACAAGGUCGGAUGGAAGCGCUACGACAGUGAUCUUCUGGAAGGCCGUAGACGCCCUACAAAACGAGAGGUUCUACGGGUGCUGAUGUCCAUAUUCGACCCCCUUGGGUUGAUCAGCCACUUUCUCAUGUUCCUGAAGGUGCUAUUGCAAGAAGUGUGGCGCUCCGGUGUGCAGUGGGAUGAGGAGAUAACUGACGACGCAUUUUCAAAGUGGCAACAGUGGCUCAAGUUAUUACCUGAAGUAGAGCAAGUUCAAAUCCCCAGGUGUUAUAGAUCACAAUCCCAAAGCCCCGAGGAAGAAGCUGAACUCCAUAUAUUCGCCGAUGCCAGUGAAUGUGGGAUGGCCGCCGUCGCCUUCUUACGCUUCGUCAAGAACGGAACCGUCGAAUGCAGAAUCGUUGCCGCAAAGACGCGAGUUGCGCCCCUGAAGUUUGUGUCCAUACCCCGACUAGAACUGCAGGCUGCAGUGAUUGGCGCUAGACUGGCUAACACGAUCACAGACUCCCUGACCGUAAACAUAUCCAGAAAGUAUUAUUGGACCGACUCCCGUGACGUACUGUGCUGGUUGCACUCUGACCACCGGCGAUACACCCAAUUUGUAGCGUUCCGUGUCAGCGAAAUUCUAGAGACUACCGAAGCAAACCAAUGGCACUGGGUGCCGUCCAAGAUGAACGUUGCAGACGACGGUACCAAAUGGACUUCGCGACCCGAUCUCACAGCAGUUAGCAGAUGGUUCGUUGGACCAGAAUUCCUACAGCGACCUGAAACAAAUUGGCCACAGCAGCCGAAGAAGAGUAGAUCCACAGAGGAAGAACUUCGUCCUAGACUGAUUGCGAAUCAUACUGUCUGCGAACCCGUCAUAAAUCCAUGCAACUUCUCCAGCUGGAAGCGUAUGCUCAACAUCACUUCGUACGUCCUGCGGUUCACGGCCAAUUGUCGUCGAAAACUUCGUAGAGAAUCGACCACCACCGGACAACUAACGACACCCGAACUGGUUUCCGCUGAAACCUACCUUCUACGUACUGCUCAACGUGAGGGCUACCCAGACGAGGUCACCAUCUUGGAGAAAUCAAAGCAGGCUGAUAGCUCAAGGACCAUACCAAAGCAAAGUAGCCUGUACCAGUUAACUCCGUGGAUAGACAGCAAAGGACUUAUGCGAAUGCGUACAAGAAUUGCAGCCUGUCAUUACGCAACAGAAGACGCCAAGAAACCAAUUAUUCUACCUCGGGAUCACCCCACUACCAACAUGAUAAUUAUGCACUAUCAUUGCCAAUUCCACCAUCAGAACCAUGAGACAGUGGUCAAUGAACUUCGGCAGAGGUUCAACAUUCCACACAUUCGUGCCGCUUAUGCUAAGGUGAAGAGGAACUGCCAACGAUGUAAAAAUGAUCAUGCCAAGCCAUGCCCACCAAUAAUGGCUGACCUUCCACCAGCGCGGGUUGCAGCAUUUUCGCGACCCUUCACACACACAGGAAUCGACUUUUUCGGACCUUAUGAAGUUGCUGUUGGAAGGCGCACGGAAAAACGAUGGGGAAUGCUCGCAACCUGCUUGACGAUCCGAGCUGUUCACAUCGAAGUUGUGCACUCCCUAAGCACUGACUCCUGUAUAAUGGCAAUUAGAAACUUCAUUGCACGUCGUGGUACACCUAGAGUGAUCUACAGUGAUAGGGGGACCAACUUCAUCGGAGCAUCUCGUCAGAUGAAAGAAGCUGCUACAAAAGUGAACGUGGACGAAGUUAUGAAAGAGUUCACAACCGUUGACACCGAAUGGUUGUUCAAUCCACCCCUAUCUCCUCACAUGGGCGGCAGCUGGGAACGGCUAAUAGGCAGCGUAAAACGGAAUCUUCAAGCGAUUAACCCACCUCGAAAGCCGACUGAUGAAGUUCUGCAGAAUGUAUUCGUCGAGGUCGAAAACAUCAUAAACUCCAGACCAUUAACCCACAUCCCUGUUGAUGAUGACUGCGCGCCUGCUUUGACCCCGAACCACUUUCUUCUUGGUUCCUCAAAUGGCGUCAAACCAUUCUCUACUUUGGAUGACAGUAAUGCAGCUCUCCGUCAGAACAUCUUUGCCUCGCAGGUGCUAGCGAACACAUUCUGGAAGCGCUGGCUAAGUGACUAUUUGCCAGAAAUCACAAAGCGAUCCAAGUGGUUCAACCGAACCAAUCCAGUUGAAGUAGGUGAUGUAGCAGUGAUAACUGAUCCCAAACUACCUCGAAAUUGCUGGCCCAAGGGGAAAAUCAUCGUAACCCACCCAGGUAAGGACGGAGAAGUUCGUUCGGCUACCGUUAGAACUUCCACAGGAGUAUACGUCAGGCCGGUUACCAAACUGGCAAUCCUAGAUGUCAGGCGCGACGGAAGUAAGCCAGCCUGAUAGCUGGCGUACCCGGGGGGAGUGUGGGCUGCCCUAUUGGACAGCACGCGCCCUUUGUAAUAAUGUUUCUAGUGCAACCCUGCCCCUUGAUGCUCUGGCGACACUGGACUGGAUUGACAGAGCUGCCGUCUGUCAAAAGCCGUGAGUACAAAAAAAAACUAGAUGAAUGAGAAGCAGAAAAACAUCCACGUUUGAAGAUCACUCCUAUUCCGUAGUGUUUAUUCCCUUAAUAGUUCUAACUAAUACUCGCAUAUACUGCCAAAUUUAGUGAAUUUAUAGUGGCAGAGAGGUAAAGUGAAUUUGUUAUAUAUUAGAUCCUAAAACUAACUAAAAAAUUAUUUACUAGGGCCUAGAACUUACAUGCAAAUUAGCGCACAAAAGUGCCUAACCUAAGUGUAUACUAAAUCUACAUCUUUCAUUGAACCUAUACCGCUCCAUCAUAACCAUAAGACCCUUAUUACCCGCCGAAACUGAACUAGGGGAACUAAACGUAAGUAAUUAUAUGUAUAUCUAUAUCAAGUCCCGUUGACAACACCGCAACAAAAUUUGUUAUCUACCUUACACAGAACAUAAUUUGCUACCAAAACCCCACACGUUAUAGAUACACCAGCUUAUAUAUGUAGUUAAUGCUUACGAUAUAUUGUUUCCUGUGCAUUAGUAUGCAUUGGCAUGAACUUAAGAACUAAUUGUGAAAUAUUAUAUACCCUCUGUCCUACUUGCACAGGAAAUUAGUAAUCUCCCGAAUAAAGAGCUAACAAAACCGAUCCCUGCUCUGGAGGUUAUUAAGGCGGAAGAAUCCCCCUAUCAGUCAAAGUAACAGACGGUAGAGUUGGUCGAAGCGAACUUCGACACUUUUUUUCGUUUCCCU